UUAAAUUAACUUUUUACAAUUCUUUAAAAUUAUAAUAUUAAUAUUCGUCAUGUUCCACGAAUAGAUAAUCAAAUAGAAAGUAAAACAAUCCAACAGGUCCGUUUUCUCCGACGCAAUACAACUAUUUACUGUAUUCGAUAAUUCGAUAUCCGUUGUCCUAUUAUGUGUAAUAUUCUCAGUUAUUUCGUUCCAAAAUUAUUAAUAUGAAUGUCUUCAUCCGUCUUAUUAUUAAAAAACAGUGUUCCUUGCCUUUUUUUUCUUAUACAUAUACACUGGGUGUUUAGCUUCGAUGACCCAAUGAAUUCUAUGGUUACUCUGCGCAGGUGGCGUCGCGACGCUUGACGUCGACUUCAUUCGUCGCGCGACGCUUUCUCGUAUCGUACGGUCUCUUUUUCCGAUCACUAUUUAGUCACUAAUCGCGAUCACUAUUUAGUCUCUAUUCUCUUCUUUGCGUCAAUAAAUUUGUUAUAACAUCGCAAGUCUCUCAUAAUAUCAAGAAUGUCAUGACACAAAGUUAAUCCAGGUGCAGAUGAAUCCAUCAACGUUGAAGACUUGGCUAUUACGAGGUGACCUAGAAAAACUGGAACAUGUUGUUUUAGAAGGACGUGGGUCACGUCUAUUAGGUGAACAAUCUCCAGAUCUCAAGACUAGAGUCUUCCUAAAAGGACUCCCGAAUUAUUUG